rnacentral:rRNA from 1 species
UGAGGAAUAUUGGGCAAUGCCCGCAAGGGUGACCCAGCAACGCCGCGUGGAGGAUGAAUGUCGUAAGAUUGUAAACUCCUGUUAGAGGGGAAGAAUAGUACCGGUUGGACCGGUAUAUGACUGUACCCUCAGAGAAAGCCCCGGCUAACUACGUGCCAGCAGCCGCGGUAAUACGUAGGGGGUAAGCGUUGUCCGGAUUUACUGGGUGUAAAGGGCGCGCAGGCGGGAUAAAAAGUCAGUGGUGAAAUCCUACAGCUUAACUGUAGAACUGCCUUUGAUACUUUUAUUCUUGAGUUCGGGAGAGAGAGACGGAAUUCCAGGUGUAGUGGUGAAAUACGUAGAUAUCUGGAAGAACACCAGUUGCGAAGGCGGUCUCUUGGUCCGACACUGACGCUGAGGCGCGAAAGCGUGGGGAGCAAACA